UUUAAGUUUUACUCUGACAAAAUGUGUUGAAUAAAGCCACUUGUGCUUUUUUAAAGCUUUUACUUGGCUUUAAAAAGGUGGCUAACAAGUGGCUAAAUAGGACUACAGAGGUUGUUUGGGACAUUAAGCAUCAUCACACUGAACAGUUAAACUCAUCUACGCACUAGUCUGCCUUUACAGCCUCAUAUUUCAUUAAUAAUCACUCUCUUGCUAGCUAUUCAAGCUUAUAUUGGGGUGUAGUUUAUUUAUAGCCUAUAUUUAGCCUUUUACUUCUGGCGAUUGUAUUUACGCUUCAAAAUUCAUAAAAGUCAGUGUGCGUUU